rnacentral:rRNA from 1 species
GAUGAACGCUAGCGGCAGGCUUAAUACAUGCAAGUCGAGGGGCAGCAUGACUGUAGCAAUAACAGUUGAUGGCGACCGGCAAACGGGUGCGGAACACGUACGCAAUCUACCCAAAACUGAUGAAUAGCCCUCCGAAAGGAGGAUUAAUACAUCGUAACCUGAUUGAAUGGCAUCAUUUAAUUAGUAUAGCUCCGGCGGUUUUGGAUGAGCGUGCGCCNG